CCUACGGGAGGCAGCAGUGGGGGAUAUUGCACAAUGGGGGGAACCCUGAUGCAGCGACGCCGCGUGGGUGAAGAAGCGCCUCGGCGCGUAAAGUCCUGUCAGCAGGGAAGAAAAUGACGGUACCUGUAGAAGCAGCCCCGGCUAACUACGUGCCAGCAGCCGCGGUAAUACGUAGGGGGCAAGCGUUCACCGGUUUUACUGGGUGUAAAGGGGGCGCAGACGGCGAGGCAAGCCAGGCGUGAAAGCCCGGGGCCCAACCCGGGGACUGCUCGUGGUACUGCGUGGCUGGAGUGCAGGAGGGGCAGGCGGAAUUCCAGGUGUAGCGGUGAAAUGCGUAGAGAUCAGGAGGAACACCGGUGGCGAAGGCGGCCUGCUGGAC
rnacentral:rRNA from 1 species